GAGGAGGAAGCCCCUCCCUCUAAAACCACUCAGAGGAACCAUCCUGGACCUGGACUUGAACCUAGACCUGAACCCAGCUGUGUCUCCAUGAAGAGCGACUGGUCGAUGGAUCAACCUACUGGUUUCAGAUCAGACCAGCAGAAUCAACCUGGAUCCAUGCCCAG